GCGGAUGUGAUGGAAUGGUAGACAUGUCAGACUCAAAAUCUGAUGCGCGCAAGCGUGUAACGGUUCAAGUCCGUUCAUCCGCACCA
rnacentral:tRNA from 1 species